GACGAACGCUGGCGGCGUGCCUAAUACAUGCAAGUAGAACGCUGAAGCUUGGUGCUUGCACCGAGCGGAUGAGUUGCGAACGGGUGAGUAACGCGUAGGUAACCUGCCUGGUAGCGGGGGAUAACUAUUGGAAACGAUAGCUAAUACCGCAUAAGAGUAGAUGUUGCAUGACAUUUGCUUAAAAGGUGCAAUUGCAUCACUACCAGAUGGACCUGCGUUGUAUUAGCUAGUUGGUGAGGUAACGGCUCACCAAGGCAACGAUACAUAGCCGACCUGAGAGUGUGAUCGGCCACACUGGGACUGAGACACGGCCCAGACUCCUACGGGAGGCAGCAGUAGGGAAUCUUCGGCAAUGGACGGAAGUCUGACCGAGCAACGCCGCGUGAGUGAAGAAGGUUUUCGGAUCGUAAAGCUCUGUUGUAAGAGAAGAACGAGUGUGAGAGUGGAAAGUUCACACUGUGACGGUAUCUUACCAGAAAGGGACGGCUAACUACGUG
rnacentral:rRNA from 1 species